AUUGAACGCUGGCGGCGUGCUUAACACAUGCAAGUCGAGCGGCAGCGGGCCCGCAAGGGUGCCGGCGAGCGGCGGACGGGUGAGCAAUACAUAGGAAUCUGCCUCAGAGCGGGGGAUAGCCAGGGGAAACCCUGAUUAAUACCGCAUGACGUCGAGAGACCAAAGUGGGGGAUCGUAAGACCUCACACUCUGAGAUGAGCCUAUGUCGGAUUAGCAGUUGGCGGGGUAACGGCCCACCAAGGCGACGAUCCGUAGCUGGUCUGAGAGGACGAUCAGCCACACCGGAACUGAGACACGGUCCGGACUCCUACGGGAGGCAGCAGUGGGGAAUAUUGGACAAUGGGCGAAAGCCUGAUCCAGCGACGCCGCGUGGGUGAAGAAGGUCUCGGGUUGUAAAGCCCUUUAAGCCGGGACGAAAAGACGCAACCUAAUACGUUGUGCCUUGACGGUACCGGAA
rnacentral:rRNA from 1 species